GACGAACGCUGGCGGUGUGCUUAACGCAUGCAAGUGGUGCGACGAACCAGAGCUUGCUCUGGGGCAAAGCCGCGAACGGGUGAGUAACACGUGGGUAAUCUACCCCGAUGACCGGGACAACCCGAGGAAACUCGGGCUAAUACCGGAUGUGGUGCGGAGACAUAAGUCUCUUCACUAAAGGUAGCUUCGGCUUCCGCAUUGGGAGGGGCCCGCGGCCCAUUAGCUUGUUGGUGGGGUCAAGGCCUACCAAGGCAACGAUGGGUAGCUGGUCUGAGAGGACGAUCAGCCACACUGGGACUGAGACACGGCCCAGACUCCUACGGGAGGCAGCAGUGGGGAAUCUUGCGCAAUGCGCGAAAGCGUGACGCAGCAACACCGCGUGAGGGAAGAAGGCCUUAGGGUUGUAAACCUCUUUCAGAUGGGACGAAGGUUCUCCGGUGAAUAGCCGAGAGGAUUGACGGUACCGUCAGAAGAAGCUCCGGCUAACUACGUG
rnacentral:rRNA from 1 species